rnacentral:sRNA from 1 species
CAAAAAGUAACGCCGAAUCGUAAGAACGGGGGACUUAAAGAAUUAGGGGUGAAGGAUUUAUCCAGGGCUACCUUUUCGGCCCGAACCCGUCAGCUAACCUCGUAGGCGUGCGAAAGGGAGAGC